rnacentral:rRNA from 1 species
GACGAACGCUGGCGGCGUGCUUAACACAUGCAAGUCGAACGGAAAGGCCCUGCUUUUGUGGGGUGCUCGAGUGGCGAACGGGUGAGUAACACGUGAGUAACCUGCCCUUGACUUUGGGAUAACUUCAGGAAACUGGGGCUAAUACCGGAUAGGAGCUCCUGCUGCAUGGUGGGGGUUGGAAAGUUUCGGCGGUUGGGGAUGGACUCGCGGCUUAUCAGCUUGUUGGUGGGGUAGUGGCUUACCAAGGCUUUGACGGGUAGCCGGCCUGAGAGGGUGACCGGCCACAUUGGGACUGAGAUACGGCCCAGACUCCUACGGGAGGCAGCAGUGGGGAAUAUUGCACAAUGGGCGGAAGCCUGAUGCAGCAACGCCGCGUGCGGGACGACGGCCUUCGGGUUGUAAACCGCUUUCGCCUGUGACGAAGCGUGGGUGACGGUAAUGGGUAAAGAAGCACCGGCUAACUACGUG